UACGUAGGGUGCAGGCGUUAAUCGGAAUUACUGGGCGUAAAGCGUGCGCAGGCGGUUUGCUAAGACAGGUGUGAAAUCCCCGGGCUCAACCUGGGAACUGCAUUUGGGACUGCAAGGCUAGAGUACGGCAGAGGGGGGUAGAAUUCCUGGUGUAGCAGUGAAAUGCGUAGAUAUCAGGAGGAAUACCGAUGGCGAAGGCAGCCCCCUGGGUCGAUACUGACGCUCAUGCACGAAAGCGUGGGGAGCAAACAGG
rnacentral:rRNA from 1 species